rnacentral:rRNA from 1 species
CCUACGGGUGGCAGCAGUGGGGAAUAUUGCACAAUGGGGGAAACCCUGAUGCAGCGACGCCGCGUGGGUGACGAAGUAUUUCGGUAUGUAAAGCCCUAUCAGCAGGGAAGAAGAUGACAGUACCUGACCAAGAAGCCCCGGCUAACUACGUGCCAGCAGCCGCGGUAAUACGUAGGGGGCAAGCGUUAUCCGGAUUUACUGGGUGUAAAGGGAGCGUAGGUGGCAUGGCAAGCCAGAAGUGAAAACCCGGGGCUUAACCCCGCGGAUUGCUUUUGGAACUGUCAGGCUGGAGUGCAGGAGGGGCAGGCGGAAUUCCUGGUGUAGCGGUGAAAUGCGUAGAUAUCAGGAGGAACACCGGUGGCGAAGGCGGCCUGCUGGACUGUAACUGACACUGAGGCUCGAAAGCGUGGGGAGCAAACAGGAUUAGAUACCCGGGUAGUC